AUCAAUCGAUCUCCUUCUUUCUUUCGUCCGCAAAGGACACCCGGUCUCCUUCCUCUUCUUCUUUGAUACAACCCUGUCUUCUUUCUCUUUUUAGUCCAAUCUUCCACUUUUCAAUCCUUUUUGUGAUACAAAUAAAUACAUCUAUUCCAUCGAACAAGCCCUCCCAAGGAGAGGACCAGCGUCGUCCCCGGCCUCUGGCGACCGGCCGGCGAGCCCAACGCCGGAGCACCACCAACACCCGCAGCCCCCAGCGCCCAGCCUUCCUACACGCUCAAGAGCGGGAGACGAACGCCCGCUCGGGAGGAGAACCCGAGUGCGCCCGCGCCACCCUGAGCCGCCACCGGGGGAAGCUCCCGCCGCUCGCCGGCGACGUGCAGGAUCCCGCGACCCCAACGCCGCCGCUCUGCCUGCCUCCUCUCUCUCUAUUUCUUCCUUCCCUUCUUCUCUGGUUCUCUCUCUCAUAUUUCUCUCUCUUCACUGUCCCGUAGCAGGAACAGCCGCUGGCGCUCGUCCCCGACCAACUCCGGUGCCCUGGCCUCACCGCCAAAGCUGGGAGCCAUCCCCACCGGCCGGAUCUGAUGCGCAGCCACCUCGCUGUUGCGCCGCCAUCACCCCUGCAACGGAUCAUCCCGCCCUCCACCUCUUUUUCGUCGGGGAGACGACGAACUCGUCCUCGAGCAUUGACCGCGCGCCCGCGUUCGUGGGCUGCAUCCACGGGCGAUCGAUCACCGCCUCAUGUACGCCGCCGGGCGUCGGACUAAUUUUCAUAAGCUUCAUUCAUAUGUGACAUCAGGAAGCUUCAAAAAACAGGAGAAGUGCAAGAAAACGUCGCCCCAAACAAAUCGCAACUUGCCAGCCUCCGCAACAGCCGUCAGAACCAUGGCUCACGGACGCCUGCUCCGCGGAUCGGCGGAUCCUUCCCUGGUGCCAUGCUUCAGCGGCUUGUGCUGCUCGGUAUCCCUCGUCCAAAUAAUCGGUAUGUCUGUUCAAAAAAAAAAAUCGGUAUGUGUCCUUCCUGCGGCUACACCUUCAGGAUUUUCACCGCCACCAUGCUUCGGAGGCUUGCUGUUGUUCUUGUCCUCUUUGCUGCUGUGCGCAAGCGCACCUACGCAUAUAUGGUUCUGGCCCAGGGAGCACAACUCUCUAACUCUUGCCCUUCUGUCGUUGAUCUAGGUAUGCACCCCCGAUGCUAUUACAGCUAAUCUCUGAUAAAGAAGUUUUUGGUCCUGAUGCAACUCAUUGACGAACGCAAUUAGGCUUGUAGACUGGCUUCCAAUCUCCAUUGAUUCUCAUUCAUGCACUGACUGCUAUUCUAAACAAUUAUUAUUAGAUAUUAAUAUUAAUGGAGCAUCAAUGUUUUUUGAAAAAAAUUAAUAAGCAGAUAACUCAAGGCUUUCAUUUUUUAUGUAGAUAAGCAGCAGGAGUAUUUCAUAGAUCACGGACCCCAUGUAGUCUGACGUUCAAGGAGGGAAUCUGGCUCAGGAUGCCUGUGUCCAUAUUGUACUUUUGAUAUCUGACUUUCAUAUUGUACUAUGAUGAUCGUGGAUCUUGUGUGCAUAUUGUACUUUUGAUGAGCUACACUUUUAAGGAAUCUGAUUUCAGGAGUCUGAUGGUCAGGUAAGUGUUAAUGUGUUAUUUAGUGUUAGUUUAGUGCAGCUGCUCCCCUGAGGCCCUGACUGGCUUCUUAGCUCCCUCUCCACUUACCUGUCAGCUGGGCGUGUUGAUUCGAUCUGUUGAUCUGGAAAAAUUGACACACUAGGACGUACACAAAAACUUUAAGGUUAGUUCGUACAUGAUUGAAUCUUCUCCGUGCAAAAACUGACAAUACACAAAUUGUAGCAAAAUCAAUGAGGAGCUGAAUCUGCAGUCUUCCCUUACCGCCCAGUAGUUCCCAAUUUAUUUUUGGAUUUUUAUUGUUAUUUGGUAAGCAUAGCACCUGAUUUACAGUGAAGUGCAUCUAUCAAUUUAAUUGUUUGACCGUUAAUACACAGUACAUCCGUGUCCAUGUCGUCAAUGUGUUGCUCGCCGACCGUACUGUUCUCGAGAUCCGCCUUGAAGACGGUGGAUCGGGCCUUCAGCACACAUCGUUCGUUAGCAUCUCCGCCUGAUGCUUCUAUAGGAAGAGAGACCCCCAUACUUAUAUUUUUAAUCCACAUGGAUAGUACAAUUUUUUUUAAUCCACAUGGAUAGUUCUGUAGAAAAAUUGUUAUUUUGUAGUCUUCUUAACUUGGCUAAUGAAUAUCCACUCUUCAUGUGACAAGAAGUGCAUGAACUUGGCUAAUGUUUAGGGGCAUAAGCAUGAUCAUGUCAAAAGUGCAUACAAGCAUCAUGUAAUUAUGUUCUUACAGAGAUAACAUUCAGUUUAGUAAUCUCUCUUGGCUGAGGGAUUUGACUACCCUUCAUCAGAGCGUGUUAGAGCUAUGGAUACUGAACUCGCAAGAUUCCUUUUUUGUAUGUCCGCAGGGAAGUGUUGACUACUUGAACAUGCUGGAAAGUGUUGACUACUUGGAGUAACUUGCAAGUAACAGAUGUUUUGACAACAAUAACUGCUACCAAUGAGGACCACUGGCAAGAUAUAGCACAACAACCUGGUCCCUGUUCCGUAAAGGUUGGCCUGAUCCCUGUUGAAAUCAAUUUGGCGUGGUACAUUAGUUGUAUUGUUCACCCUGCAUGUUUUUUUUCACUUUCCUAAAGUAUGUUUGAGUAUAGCUUAUGGUUUAUUUAUAAGCUUGUGAGUUAAUUAAAGCUCACUUGGUGGUUCUAACUAAUUAUACUAAAAUAUGACCAUGACCGAAAGAUAGAUGGAGGUUCAGAUGCAGAGUGAAAGCCUGCACCAACAAGUUGUAGUUGUAUAUGGAACCUGGCGACUUGAUGAUUGCAGCGCAGCAGACCACUAAGGCUAGGCUCCUAAGCUUGCUAAUUUGGGCGUCUGGAACCUUAAGAAUAAAGGACAGGCGUACUCGGGCCGAGAUCAACAGGCACGGUCGUGAUGGGCAUGUACGAGUGCCGCGGCCCACUGGACGGACAAGGGACCAGGCUGGAAGUUGUUUUUCAUAUUUGUUUACUUGUCAAAUAGUCCCACCUUGCUAUUUUACAUUAAUUUUUACCAGUUUAUAUACAAUUUUUAGGUUGUCAGGCAUCAAGAAGCUGCUUUGGAAAUUAAGCAAAGAAAUAAAGAAAGGAAAUAGACAUUCUUUGCAUGAGAAAUAAAGAAGGAAGAUGGUAAUUAUGUGGAGCCGGCAAGAAAGGUGAUGCAAUUCUUUAUUGGUUCCAAGCUUACGUGGAAUGUUCACCGUGUAGUGGACAUCGUUACCGACAAUGAUGACAAAGAAAAGAAGUGGUAACAGGGAUGGGGGCGCUAGGGGUGAUA